rnacentral:lncRNA from 10 species
CAGGCUGUGCCCAGCAAGCCGAAGGUGCCUGGGCUUGCUCAUUCAGUCACAGUCACAGCCACCAUGCCAGGGAGGACCUGGGAGCUGUGCCUGCUACUGCUGCUGGGGCUGGGACUGGGGUCCCAGGAGGCCCUACCCCCACCCUGUGAGAGAACAAGUCCUGCAGACCUUCACUGAGCUGUCCAGGGACCACAAUCACAGCAUCCCCAGGGAGCAGCUGCAGGCGUUUGUCCACGAACACUUCCAGGCCAAGGGGCAGGAGCUGCAGCCCUGGACCCCUGCAGACUGGAAAGACAGCCCCCAGUUCCUGCAGAAGAUUUCAGAUGCCAAACUGCGUGCCUGGGCAGGGCAGCUGCAUCAGCUCUGGAAGAAGCUGGGGAAGAAGGUAUCAGCGUCCUGGGCCUGCCCAAGGCCUGACCAAGGGAACUGAAGAGAGGAAUGUGCCUGGGGCCCACAGUGUCUUCGGAGCACAGAUCAGGUUUCCUUUCCUGAGAAACCAGUCCCUGGCCCCUGGGUCCCCAAAUAGAGGCCCUCU